rnacentral:misc_RNA from 1 species
CAGAGUUAUCCAACUCCCAAACCCAUAUGAACUUAUCUCUUUGUUGCCUCGGCGCAAGCUACCCGGGACCUCGCGCCCCGGGCGGCCCGCCGGCGGACAAACCAAAACUCUUGUUAUCUUAGUUGAUUAUCUGAGUGUCUUAUUUAAUAAGUCA